UGUGCUGCUAAUGUGGCUGGGUGUUUCUCGCGUUGUAUUCUAUUCUUUCAUAUCAUGGCAUGCAGACAUGAUUUGUCAUUGUAAAUAUUCUUCUUAUUUCAAGUAUUUCUGGGUGAAAUUGAAAUUCAUUGGCAAAAUUUCAUUGUAAGGAUUAACUUGGAAUCUAGUUUGUAAGUUGCAUCUCCUCUAGACAAUUGUGUUGCCUUGAUUAGAAGCAUGCAUGAUUGGGUAUAGAAGUUGGUUUAGGAAGCAAUGAUCUGUCACUCUUUGAAUUGUUGCCUUCCACAUGGGAACGCAUUAAACUUAUUAUUUUAUUGGGUGAUGGAAAGGUAGAUUUUUUUUCCUUGAGGCUCAAUGUCUUGGAUGCCCAGCAACUGAAAGAAGCUUCACAUUGGCGGUCAAAAAUAUCUUGAUAAAGUCAGUUAUAUGUAUUGUAUUUGAUUGCAGGAGGUUGUACAAGUCAUACCUCCCUUGAGUUUUUUAAAUCAGGCUUUACAUUUUGGAGCUUUAUUCUUUGUUUCCAACUGAAAAAAUUAAUUCCUACUUUAAUUGAAUUUCAAUCAAUGUUGGAAGACAUUUUUAAAAGAUUGUUUCAAUCAAUGUUGGAAGACAUUUUUAAAAGAUUGUUUCUAUUUGAUUAUAUGGUCCUAUUUUUGCGGUGUAACGUAAUGGGAAGCCAAUGCACGAAAAAGACUACGAAGGCACGUGUUGGAAGCUUUGUACCCUGUUUGGUUCACUUCGAAAUUCAAAAUGUAGUCUAACACUUGCAAGGGAAAUUUUAUUUAAUUAUUUUAAAAAUAAUUACUAUGAAAUAUACAUAUACACUUUAAAAUUUACAUUUUCAUUUCAUUCCAUUUCUAAUACCAUUAAAAGCUGUGCUCAUUAUAUAAUACGUAUGGCGAUUACAAAAAUGUGUUAAACAACAAAAAAAAAAAAAAAAA
rnacentral:misc_RNA from 1 species